CCCUAGCCCCGAUAGAGCCGGUAUCCUUUUUGACCGCUUUUUCUGCGGGCAAAAAGAUAUAGGCGAAAGCGGGAAAUAGC
rnacentral:sRNA from 1 species